CGUUUGGUUGGAGGUUAAGGGGUGGAAUAACCCCUUAAACCCCAUUUUAUCCUCAAACCUCAAAUGGGUUAUUCCAAGUUAGCUAAUCCUACCAAACCCCAACCAAACACUAUUUUCAAUUCAUAAUAACCCACUAUCCUUCUUAUCCCACCUACUCCAACUAAACACUAUUAUUUACUAUUCUGGACUAACUUCAACCCCCAACCAAACACAAAAAUAUUCUAACCCCACCUUAACCCUAAACUUAAUCCUAUCCCUGGAAUAACUAAUUUUUCCUUAACCACGAACCUAACGUUAAGAGUGU
rnacentral:lncRNA from 1 species